GAAGAAGGUGUGGAGUUGCGCACUGUCAUUUAUAAAGUAAUUGUUAGAAUUCUUCGAUUUGUAGCAAAGCUUGACGAUGGCAGCAAGCAUCAAGUGGCCCAACAUGAUGUGGAGUUUGAGGUUAACAUGAAACGUUUUACGGUUGAAAAAAUGAUAGAACUCAUUGGGUCCAAAAUUGUUUGGGGGAGUGGGUAGGAGGUUCAUAUUUUGUGCAAGGACAAGCAUUUUGAAUCAGUUGAGAGGAUUGAUAACUACUGGAAGUUGCUGACAUCAUUUCUUGAGAGAUGGGAAGAGAAAGAAUUGCUU
rnacentral:rRNA from 1 species